rnacentral:rRNA from 1 species
CAGUCGCCGCUGGAAUACGAAGGGGGCUAGCGUUGCUCGGAAUGACUGGGCGUAAAGGGCGCGUAGGCGGCGAUCAAAGUCAGGCGUGAAAUUCCUGGGCUCAACCUGGGGGCUGCGCUUGAUACUUGGUUGCUUGAGUGGGGAAGAGGGUCGUGGAAUUCCCAGUGUAGAGGUGAAAUUCGUAGAUAUUGGGAAGAACACCGGUGGCGAAGGCGGCGACCUGGUCCUUGACUGACGCUGAGGCGCGAAAGCGUGGGGAGCAAACAGGAUUAGAUACCCCCGUAGUCCCUGUCUCUUAUAC